AACCAUCAAAUUGAAAUUUCUUCUCUCAGUGUACAAAUACGAAUAUCAGCUUAUACAGUACAUCAGCUAGUAAUGUAAAAGAAAGUGAAAAUGUACUUAAAACUUUUAAUAAAUCAAAAUCAAAAUCAAAAUCAAAAUCAAAAUCAAAAUCAAAAUCAGAAUCAACCGAUUACUGAUCAGGGUUCAGUUGGCCGGAGUUGGAGUUCGAUGUGGAGUUUGAGUAAUUCUUUUUCCCAAAUCCAUCACCCACUGACAUGACUCCACUGGCUGAUUUCAACAGAAUCCUGGCUAUCCUAAUCUUCACCUCUCCUCUCCUUGGAGGAAGAAGAACACUCUGUUUUGGUUCCAUCUUCUUCCUCCUUGCUUGUUUUUACAGAAAAGGAAAGAGUUUAAUGGCAUAGGCAGGCGGCUGUGUGUGGGUGUGUGUGAAAGUUCUCAAAGGUAACAUAUUUAUGGAGUCCAGAUAGCAGCAAGAAUAAAGUCCGUCACUAAAGAAUACAACAAAUUCAUCA
rnacentral:lncRNA from 1 species